UGCGGCAAUGUCGCCAUCCUGCUGUUACUUAUUUUUUGAGGCCCCGUCCCCGAGGGUGAGUAUUAUAGGUAUUUAAUAGGUAUGGUUAAAUUUGGGUAGGUGGUUGUUUACAACAAUCUACUGUAGUACAUUCUACUAUGUGUAACAGAUGAAUUUUCAGGAUUAUGUCUAAUGCGCGAUUAAGUACUGUUGUAACUGUAAGGCUGGCGUCAUUUUGCUCUUUUUUUGCCUGAGUCGAUUUAGCAGUUCACGAAUGAAAGCAUCUCACGUAAAAAUCCCGUAAAACAAUGGAAAAUCUUAUUUCAAAUAUAAGAUUCUUCAAUUUAAUAAAACUAUAAUUCAAAAAAUAAAUAAAUUAAUACACAAUUAUCAAACAAUGUGCAUAAAUUCAAAAUUUAAAUCGUGACAAGUGUUUUCCGGUUGUUGGCAGCAGUUACACCGAUUGUAGCUCCACCUAUACAUUUAGUAUGCUCUCUGAAAUUCACCGACGCUCCUUCCAUUUUCCUGCCGGCUCCCGAACAGACCAGACGUUCUUCAGCUGCGGUCCCGCAGCCCACUUGUAUCAAUUCCGAGAGGAAAAUGGAUUCAACAAUAAAUGUAAGAUGCAUGAGGCGUGACCUUUUGGAAAAUGCAUCUUCUAAACACGGAUAAAACGUACUACUUCUAAGUACGUUAUGAGUUGAACAAUUUUUAAAACAUGGUCCUAUAAGACCAUGAUGGACCUACAUGAUUCAACACGACUACACUUGCUCUGAAGCGAGGAGUUAGUUACCUCUGGAGUCUAUACGGAAUAAUCUGCAGGAACCUGUUGAUGCAGAUUCAUUAAUUUGCUGUUAGCAUUCUACCAUCAUCAACAAAAUUGUUGACAAUUGUGGCUCAAGGUCUAAAAGUUGAACUAAAAACUGCUUUCGACAAUGUGAUUCCUAUGUGAUCCAGGAUUAAUUAAUGACCUAGAUUCAGACUGCUGAAAACAUAAAAGAAUAUGUCUGGCAAGCUAACACACUUUGCACAAGGCAUCUUUAUCCUACUGAUUAUGGACUCGAAAUUGUUCAAAUGAUUUCGCAAAACAUAUCCUGACUCCGGUAGUGUGGGAGCAGUUGCAACUUACCAAUAUAUCAAUCAACUAUAAGAAUUUUUUAAGGCCGAGAACAAUUAAUUCUGCUGAAAAAGUCUUGGAUUGGCAAACUGGAAUAAGGCUUUUCAAUAAGAUAUAACAUUGGUUUUUGUCAAAACCAUCAAAAAACAGUUCAAAGGACUUUACGCUUGAUCAAUUUCUCUACAUUGUCAACAUAUUACUUUAAAAUUUGUCUUCAACUAUUUUUGAGUCAAACAAAAGAAAAUAAUGAAAUAAAACAUUCUUUAAACAUAA